ensembl:lncRNA
GAUCAGUCUGUGGAGUGAACAAAGUCAAAGCCCAUGUCCACAGCGGUUCGACUGAUUUUUAACCUCUUGGACAAGUCAACUUGGUUUCAAAAGGUUGGACCCUUGGGACAUGGACAUCCAGGCAGUGGGUGCCUCUGGAGGCAGGUCAUGGGCAUGAAAAGAUAGAUGGACAUUUAAGAUCCAUGGAGAGCAUCAUUGGUGCUGUUACACAAUGCAAGAAGAGAAAGCUUCAGACAUAUAUGAAGAAUUGAUGCUUUUGAACUGUAGUGUUGGAGAAGACUCUUGAGAGUCCCUUGGACUGCAAGGAGAUCCAACCAGUCUGUUCUGAAGGAGAUCAGCCCUGGGAUUUCUUUGGAAGGAAUGAUGCUAAAGCUGAAACUGCAGUAAUUUGGCCACCUCAUACGAAGAGUUGACUCAUUGGAAAAGACUCUGAUGCUGGGAGGGAUUGGGGGCAGGAGGAGAAGGGGACGACAGAGGAUGAGAUGGCUGGAUGGCAUCACUGACUCGAUGGACGUGAGUCUCAGUGAACUCCGGAAAUUGGUGAUGGACAGGGAGGCCUGGUGUGCUGCGAUUCAUGGGGUCGAAAAGAGUCGGACACGACUGAGCGACUGAUCUGAUCUGAUCUGAUAGGAUGGAUUCCUAGAAAUAGAACUGUUGGGCCACCAGGAACUAAUGUCAAUAAUUUUUAGACAUUUAAAAUUUUCCUGCACAGUAGUCAUUUCAAUUUUCACUCCUCAUGAAAGUCUAUUUUCCCAGGUGGUCCCUAAGAUACAAUGAAUCAUAAAAUUUUGACCUCUGUCAAUUUUUUAUUGAAAAUGUUAUUUGGAAUUUUACUUUUCAUUUCUCUUAUUCUUAGUGAGGCUGAACAUCUUUACAUGGUUUUAAGAGUUAUUUGUAAUUCUUUUAAAAAGUUGAACUCUCUGGUCAUCCACGUUGACCAUUUUCCCAUAGCAUUGUUUCCUUUUUUCUUAUGAUUGGUAAGAGCUUGUUGCAUGUUAAGAAAAGCAUUCCUUUGUGCAUCACAUGCAAACACUUUCCCCCAUUCGUUGUCUGAAUCUGGAUUUUAUUCUUUUUUAUCUAUUGAAAUAACAAAUUUGAAAGUGUUUAUGUGGUAGACCUUCUUUGGUUUCUUUUCAGUUUUGGAUCAUAUUUUCCAACUGUGAGAUGAUUUUAAAAGUUUCCAUGGUCUCUUUUAGUGCUAUUAGUGUUAUUUGAAGAAAUGUUUAUUUUGAAAUGAUUUUAAACUUACAGAAGAUUUGCAAAGAUAGAAAAGUGACUUCCAAUGCCGCCUUCAUCCAACUUUGCUCAAUGUUAACAUUUUAUAGAACUGUGGUACCAUUAGCAAAGCUCUAAGUUUAACAUUGGUACAAUACUGUUAGUUAAACCACAGGCUUUCAUAGAAUUUCCAGUGUUCCCACUAAUGUCCUUUUUCCCAUUUCAUGUACCAGUUCAGGAUUCCACAUUUUAUUUGCCCUAUGUCCUAAAUCUUCUCUCUUCUUGACAAUUUCUCCAUCUUUGUAUUUUGUGACCUUGACAUUUCUGAAGCUUUGUUGUUUUCAGUCGAUAAGUCAUGCCUGACUCUUUGUGACCCCAUGAACUGUAGCCCGCCAGGCCUCCCUCCAUGGGAUUUCCCAGGCAAGAAUACUGGAAUGGGUUACCAUUCCUUUCUCCAGGGGAUCUUCCCAACCCAGGAACUGAACCCGGGUCUCCUGCAUCUCUUGCAUUGGCACACAGCUUCUUUACCACUGAGCCACCAGGGAAGUCUCUUUCUGAAGUUUAUUGAUCAAAUAUUUUGUAGAAUGUCCACCUAUUUAGGAGAUACAUAUAUUGACAUGUCCUAUAACUGGUAAUGUUAAAUUUGAUCACUUGGUUAACACGGUGCCUUUAAUGUGGUCCUCUGUAAAGGUACUGUUUUCCCCUGUCUUAUUAAUAAAUAUUUGGUGGGAAAUACUUUGAGG